UACGAAGGGGGCUAGCGUUGUUCGGAAUCACUGGGCGUAAAGGGCGCGUAGGCGGCUUUAUAAGUCGGGGGGUGAAAGCCUGUGGCUCAACCACAGAAUUGCCUUCGAUACUGUAGAGCUUGAGACCGGAAGAGGUAAGUGGAACUGCGAGUGUAGAGGUGAAAUUCGUAGAUAUUCGCAAGAACACCAGUGGCGAAGGCGGCUUACUGGUCCGGUUCUGACGCUGAGGCGCGAAAGCGUGGGGAGCAAACAGG
rnacentral:rRNA from 1 species